CACCCUUUGUCCCACAAGUGGGAGGGGGCGACCGUAGCGAAGGGUCCCAGAAUGGGCAACCGGCAUGGGGGUGUCGACCGUGGGCACCGUUCCCCGCCUUUGGGUGCUCAGGGUACAAGGGGCCGAGGCCCCGCUCUCACCCACCCGCGCACGGACUCCAGCCCCGGGACCGACGGCAGUGGCGGCGCCCAUGCCCAGCGCAGGGGAGCGUCUGCAAAGUGUCGCGGAGAGAAGCGCCCACCCACCAGUAAGCGGGCGUAGCGGCAGAGGAGGGGGAGAACUGGAUGGCGGAGCGCGGAGACGUGGGCACUAACCGAAUCAGGCCUGCCGAGCCUGGGGCGCCUCUUCCUGGAGCCCAGCACUGCAUAAAACUGGUUGAAACAGAAGAAUCAGAAGUUCAAGGUUAUCUUCUCCAAUAUAUUGAGUUGGAGGCCGGCCUGGACUACAUGAAAUCACAUCUGAAAACAAGGAUGGAGAGCAGCUGUGAUUCUUGCCAGUGACCCAGCAGGGGAAAGUAAGGUCUCCAGAGGAGACCAGCCAUUCCUAGG
ensembl:processed_transcript